GACGAACGCUGGCGGCGUGCCUAAUACAUGCAAGUUGAGCGCUCAGGGUUGGUGCUUGUACCAACUGCGUUAGCAGCGGACGGGUGAGUAACGCGUGGGUAAUCUGCCUUUAAGCGGGGGACAACAUCGGGAAACGGAUGCUAAUACCGCAUAAAAACUUUAAACACAAGGUUUAAGUUUGAAAGAUGCAAUUGCAUCACUCAAAGAUUAUCCCGCGUUGUAUUAGCCAGUUGGGUAGGGAAAGGCCCAACAAGGCGAAGGUACAUAGCCCGCCUGAGAGGGUGGUCGGCCAACAUGGGAACGGGACAAGGGCCAAACUCCUUAGGGGGGGCGCAGGAGGGAAUCUUCGGGAAAGGGGGGAAGGCUGACCGGGCCAAGCCGGCUGGGUGAAGGAGGUUCUCGGGUUGGAAAACUCCGUUUGUAGGGAAGAAAGUAGGUGGGAGUGGAAAGCUCAUCAAGUGACGGUACCUACACAGAAAGCGACGGCUAACUACGUG
rnacentral:rRNA from 1 species